CCUACGGGUGGCAGCAGUGGGGAAUUUUGGACAAUGGGCGAAAGCCUGAUCCAGCCAUGCCGCGUGCGGGAAGAAGGCCUUCGGGUUGUAAACCGCUUUUGUCAGGGAAGAAAUCUUCUGGGCUAAUACCUCGGGAGGAUGACGGUACCUGAAGAAUAAGCACCGGCUAACUACGUGCCAGCAGCCGCGGUAAUACGUAGGGUGCAAGCGUUAAUCGGAAUUACUGGGCGUAAAGCGUGCGCAGGCGGUCAUGCAAGACAGAUGUGAAAUCCCCGGGCUUAACCUGGGAACUGCAUUUGUGACUGCAUGGCUGGAGUACGGUAGAGGGAGAUGGAAUUCCGCGUGUAGCAGUGAAAUGCGUAGAUAUGCGGAGGAACACCGAUGGCGAAGGCAAUCUCCUGGACCUGUACUGACGCUCAUGCACGAAAGCGUGGGGAGCA
rnacentral:rRNA from 1 species